rnacentral:pre_miRNA from 1 species
AGCCUUCUGUAUCCAUGUUGAGAUUUUGUCACACUAGGCCACAAGGACUGAUGAGACUCCCAAGAUAAAUGAAGCG